ACAUAAAAUAUCGAAGAAAAAUAAAAUAAAAUAAACAAAAAUACAGCAUUUAAAAUGAAAAUAAUGUGAGAAGUGGAUAUAUUCAGUUGCUUUCAAAUAGUAACUACUUUACUAUCUAUGUCUAUCUCCAUAUUAGUCUUUUAUUUAUUUUCCAACAGGGUCUUGUGUCACAAGCUGAACGUGAACUCCCUUAUUUCUGAUAAUCAAGCUUUUGCCUCCCAAAUGCUAUGAUUACAGUGUACAUGUUCAUGCCAGCUUUAAGAGAUACUAGGAAGAAAGCAUAGGACUUCAGCUACAGGAACUGAAACUCCAAGACCAGCGGUUCUCUCCUACUUGGCCUUUGAUGAAGAAACCCUUGGUUGUGUCACAACAAAGCAGAGAAACAUAGAGGAGAAUUGUUGGGAAAGGAGAAGGAAUCUAGAGGAUGGAGUGGUGGGAGUCAGAGAUCUUACAUCACAGAAGAUGAAAAGAAGGAAAAGGAAGACAAAAGCACUUUCAUAAACACAUGGACAAAGAAACAAUACUAAAGUUAUACCAGAGAAAACUUUAGACUGUUGUGCUGUAAACAGUAAGUAGAAAGAGAGCAAUUUAGGAGUGCUUGUAGAAGGCUCAAACAACUUAGGUGAAAUAGCAGGCAUGAGAGCAGAAUGGUCAAACUUACUGAGGCAGAUGUUGCAGUGACGACCGUAGAUUGUGAGCCCUGCCUUAGAGAAGAAGAACCUUCUUCUCAGUUACUGCAGGGCUAUUAUCUGUUUCUGGGGUGCUGCGAGCUGACAUAAAGGUCUUUUGAUAAGCUUACUGAAGCUUUCAUCCCUUUGUGUUUGUUAUGCUGUAAAAUCAAAUGGAGAAAUAGGAAAUAUACCAGUUCACUUCUAAUAUGGCCUGUUUUCAUGGGUGCUAGGUUUGAAUCCAAGUCUCAUAUAAUCCACUAAACAACCCUAUUUGAAGGUUUAUUUGUAAUUUCAGUUUCACAGUGUCUCCAAAAAUAUUCUUGUUUAUUUCCCCUGUGGGCUGAUUGUCUUUUAAACUCUACUAACAUUUAUAAAUUUUACUAAAUAACUGGUUUCAUUACGACAUUUCACAUAUGUAUACACUGUAUUUUGAUCAUUAGUCUUCUAUUAUAGCCUACUCUCACUCCCACUGUUCUCCUUCCUCUCCCUCCCAACCCUCCUUAUACUUUCAUGCCUUAGAUCUAUUGUUCUCUUUUUUCUACAGCCAUAGCUCCUCAGGUAGGACUCUAUGAGGCCUUCCUCUCAUUUAUGUUGGACUUUAUGUCAGCUUAAUCUUGUGAUGGUCUUGUCUAUGUAGUCACAGCCAUUUGGGUUCUUAGGUACAAUAGCCCUGUUGCACCCCAAAACAACCUUUUUACAGCAGGCUCCUACCUGAGGAACUCUUGAUAAUUGAUGUCUGUUUGGGCUGGGGGUUAAGAGGGGAGUUGGUAUUUUUCAUAUACGGUCCGUGAUUGGCUAUCCGUAUUCCUAUACACACAUGAAUGCAGCAGCAGCAUUGAACUUAAAAAAGAGUACAUGGAGUUGGGAGGAAAAACUGGGUAGGAGGUAUAGGAGGAGUUGGAGGGGAAAAGAACUUGGGGUAGAUUUGAUCAAAACAUUAUAUUUGUGCAUAAAAUUCUCAACAAAAUUUGAGAAGAAUAACAAAAAAGAAAAAAGAAACAUAGCUGUGACUAACUGCAGCUUCUUUAAAGUUUUUUUAGCUCUGCUGUCAGAAUAAUAGAGAAACAAUCAAAGGACAUGGGGAUCAAAUUAACAGGUAGGGUAGGGAGCCUGUGUUAAUUUGUCACGAUCCAUCACAGUGUGUCCAUUUUUGACCCAAGAAAUCAGAUAAUCAUUUAUAGCAAAGCAACAUGCAGAAAGUCAGUAAUUGGAUGUCUGGUGGCAUCAUGCUGUUAUCCACAUUUCCUAGACCAGCUCUCGAUGAUGCUAGUGGGAAAUAGGAAAUACAUGUAAAUUAGACCAGUCCACCCACUGUUGUUCCUCUUCUUGUCCCCAUGGUUACAAUCUGCUUAGUUAAUGCCAAUUCUUCAAGGCAGAAGGACCCCCUCAAGAACAUGAAGCCCAAGUGAGUCCCCAUACUAUUAUUGCUGGGUUGAUUGUAUUAGACAAGUAAACUUGAUAGACUAAAGUCAUUGGGGCUUAAGACGAAUAGACAGUGCUGGAAGUUAAAUAUCUACCGCUAAAUUUAAGCAAUUCUCUAACUUUUUCUAAAUUUCUUUUUCUUUCCUGUCGUCUUUGUCCCUUCUCCUUUCAUGUGUACUUCUGCAACAGUUGGAUUAUUUACAUCCCCAUGGUAUAUUAUCAUGAUUGACUCACAGACAGAUUAAAAAUGUAUAAACCAAAUAAAUAAACAAUUUUUAAAUCUACCCAUGUAUCCCCCUGCUUUGUUUUAUCCCCUUGCCCUCUUUCCUGUUACCAGAAGUAACAAAUAUUUAGUAUUGUAGUCAUUGUUUUAAUGACAUACUAAUUAACCUAUCUAUCUAUCUAUCUAUCUAUCUAUCUAUCUAUCUAUCUAUCUAUCUAUCUGUGGGUGGGCGUGAUAUAUACUAGUAGUACUUUGGCUCUUUAUCAAAAGCAAUUUUUAAAAUAUCUCUAGGCCUUACCUAUAUUUUCUGUCAAAACAACAACAACAACAAAAAAAACAAAAACAAAAACCACCAUGAUACUUACCUCAGAGCAUUUUUGUGAGGAUCUUGUGCUUUGCGCUAUACAUAGCAGCAUAAAGAAACACUUAGAAUAUGAAUAAGAGUACUCGUGGUAGUGGGGGUGGUGGUGGUAGUGUUUGGGGAGGGGUAGGGACUGGGGGUAGUAGUAGUGGGGUGGUGGUGGUGAGGUUGGGGGUUGUGGUGGUAUUAUGGAGGUGAUGGUUAGGUGGGAGUAGGGGUGGUGUGGGAUGUGGAGGGGGUAUAGGUGGUGGUGUUAAUACUCUGGUAUUUCCUCAGCUAUCUUUUCCAUUCUGCAUGAAAUCAUGAACAUUUCUAGGACAUGAUAUUUUUGUCUGUUGCCUUUUCCAAUUAUUAGUUUCCCCUACGUUCUGAGAACACCUAUUCAUACCUGAAUUCUAGUUUGUUUUCAUGUUAAAACCAAGUCUGUUUGCUUUUAAAGGAGUGGCUCUCAAUAUUAGUGGUUCUUACUAUUUUGAGCAUACUAAAAUCAACUGGGAACCUGAAAAUUUCCAAUGUAAGCCCUAUGCCAUUCCGAUUAAAUGGAAUAUCUAAGGGUAAGAUGGGCAUCAGUAUUUUUAAUGGUCUGAUGAUUUUAAAUGCACGGCCUAUGAUAGGCCCUACCUAGGCCUUAGUGCAGAAAUUGUGAAAUUCUGGCUUAAAAAUAUUCAAAUUCAAUCCUUUGUUUUUAUAAAGUGAUACUGGACAAACUGACUUUAUUUGUAUUUAUAUAUGGCUAAUUUUAUAUUAUAAUAUCAUAUAGUGAGUGACAUCAGAGAAGCUUCCUCUGGUAACUACUGGAGCAGAUGCUGAGACCUACAGCCAAACAUUAAGCAGAGAGAGGGAGGGAGGGAAGGAGAGAGAGAGAGAGAGAGAGAGAGAGAGAGAGAGAGAGAGAGAGAGAGAGAGAGAGGGGGGGAGCCCAAAUUAGAAACCUUCAUCAGGUUUCUCCCCUUGGAUCUCAGGGAACCCUGUAGAAGAGGCAGGUAAAUUGUAGGAGCCAGAGGGAUCGAGGAGAACAUGGCCCAUAGAAUCAACUAAACUGGGCUCACAUGGGCUCCUAGAUACUGAAGCAGUAAUCACAGAGCAUGUAUGGAUGUGCACUGGUCCUUUGCAUAUAUGGAUGGUAUGGUUGUUUAGUUUGGGAUUUUUAGGGAAAUCCUAAUGAUGAGAGUGAGGUGUGUCUCUGACUCUUUUGUCUGCUCUUGGGACCCCUUUUCUUCUAUUGGUUUUCUUCAUCUAGCCUUGAUAUGAGGGUGUAUGCCCCGGUCUUUAUUGUAUCUUAUGCUGUGUUCAGCAAAUGUCCUUGGAAGGCCUGCUCUUUUCUUGGGGAAAAUGGGAGAUGGAGGGAGUAGAUCUACUAGAGAGAGGUAAUGAGGGAAACUGGCAGGAGCUGAGGGAGGGGGUCAGGAUAUAUUGUAUGUGCGAAUAAAAAUAUUCAGUGACAGAUAUCAUGUAUGAGGCAAAGUGAAAUAAGUAAUUUGCCUUUGUAUGUUCCACACACAGAGCAAUUGUAUCAACAUCAUUUGUUAUCUCAAAAAUGGUAGGAAAAAUUAUGUGUUAACUCUGAUCUUAGAAACUAACCCAGUACAGGAUAAUGCUAUAUCCACCUCUUCAUUUUUUUCCUUUGCCAUGGGCUAUGUUUUGCUUAUACUUAUUAAGAAGUUGCCCAAAGAAUACAUAGAAAUAAAAAUGAAAGUUUUUGAAGUUUGUUUUUGUUUUGUUUGCUUUCUGUUUUUUGUUGUUAUGUUGUUGUUUUGUUUUGUUUUGUUUUGUUACUCUGACAUUCAGUGGUCUUUGAAGAAUCCCAGUUUCCUAACUGGUUGGGUCCCAGUGAAUAGAGAACACUGGAAAUAUGAUGAAAGUCUCGCUAACUUUCUUGCCUGUGUUCACUGUGCCAGCUUCUGCACCAUGGCCAUCUGGAACAAUGCUGUUUUAGGAUCUUUAAUUGGCUUUCCUCAUGAUCUGUUUAAUUUGAAAAAUGAACUGAGUGACUUUUCGAGAUCUCUCACAUUUUACAUUCAUAUAUUGUAUCCUGCCUCCCCUUACUUAACUGUUUUAUGUUUCAAUUAUUUCUGUCAGUAUCAGAAAUGCUGGAAAGAAAUAUUUAAGAUGGAAGAGAGAUUGAAUUCAGCUCACGGUUUCAGUGGGUUCAGUCCAUCAGCUGUGUCCAUUGUUUUGGAGAUGUGGCGAGGCAGAAGAUUUUUAGGGAGAUAUUGUCAAGCAAAGGUGCCCAGCUCAUGUUAGCUGGAAAGGAAAAGGAGAAAGAGGGGAAUAGAGAAGGUAUGGAGACAGACAGAGGCAUAGAGAAUGAUAGAGAAAAUGAGAUAAUAUUAUUUCCUCAUAUUUUCACCACUUUCCAAUAAUGCUAUCAAAUUAUCAAGGUACAAAAGAAUUAAUUCACUGAUGAGGUUAGAAUCCUUAUGAUUCAGUCACUUCAGAAGAAGCCCACCUCUGAACACCACUGCACUGGGAAAAAUUUAACCUUUUGGAGGAUGAUUCAUAACAAAAUCAUAGCUCAGUGGUUUGAAAUUAAAAUUUAAAAGUUUAACUUUUCAAAAAUUGAAAAUAAUAUUUUAUACAGUAUAUUCUGAUUAUUGUUUCUCAUCCUCAUCUCCUUUCAGCUCUUCCCUACCUCGUCACCCAUCCAACUUCAUGCCUCAUUUCUUUUUCUUCCUGGAAAACAGGUCAAAAUUUCAGAACACAAUUAAAAUCAAAACAAAACACAAACACAAACACACAGACGCAUCAUUCAAACACAAAUCAAAAGCCAUAAUAUACAAGCAAAAUAUAAUUAAGAUCAACAUGGAACAAAAUAUUGGCCUGCUACUGCUAGGCCUGGGACUUGCCCAUAAGUGUUAAAGCUGACAUCUUUGGAGUCAAGGAAAUGUGAGCAUGAAUCCUGGCAUUGCAGCCAUAACAUUUACCCUCUAUUUCUGCAGCUGCAAAAUGGUCACAACUGUACAUAGCACAGAAGGAUUUAGACAAUAAGAAUGCGAUAAUUCCAGUAAAAUACUAAGCAUGGUGCUGGGGCACAAUAGACACUGAGGAGUUAAAGAGAGCUAUUGUUAGUUUCAUCAUUAUUACAAUGCCUUUUAAAAACAAUGGCUAUGUCCUGUAGUUAUCCCUAGGUGCAAGUACUCAAAGAGAAGUACUAAGAGCAUUAGAAAUGUUAAUCAUGCAGGGGUGUCUCCUCAGUGGAGGAGAUAAAGUCAAAUACGUGCAUUCCAUCCAGAAAGCUGAAAAUGGUUUUUAUUAAUGACCUGGCGACCUUUUAUGUUGUGGAGACAGACCAUACCCAAAUUCCCUAGAAUGGUUAUCUUAGAUUCUUUCCAGCCUAGACUCAUCUUUAAAGGAAAUGUCAAACGUUCUUUAUAGCCUUGACCUCUGUGCUAUCUUGGUCAGAGACCAUACUGGAUUUAAUCCUUCCAGCUAUAAGACCCACCAGCAUGGUCACGUGUACUUUGUAAAAGAAUUUCUAUGUAACCACACCUUAAGCUUUAUUGUACAUCUGCGAUUGGAAUGAUUGUUGCAUGGGAAACUUUUUGCAAAUUUUACUGUUUUAAAUAUAUUGAAAAUGAACAGCUUUAGACUUCCUGAAGUCUGAUCCAGGAUGACAAAGCCAAUCUGCACUGGAUUGGCAUUCUUACCUCUUCACAGAUCACUGCCUGCAUUUGAUGCCUGCAGAGAUCCUACUCAUCUACCAUUUUUUGCAAGCAACCCUUCCGAGCAUCAUACAAAGCAACUUCCAAGAUACAUUAAUUCCUUGAAAUGUAUCAUCUAAAUAGAGUGUAAGACAUUGAUGUCAAGCUCCACCUUGCCUUACACUCUCCACUGCCUAUAUCAUGUUAAUUAAGGUCAUAUAUCAACAAGAGAUAUUGUCAUGUAACAUGUGCAUCAGCCUUGGGGCUAUCUAAAAUUAAUUCAUGCACAUUGUCCAAAUGAUAAAUAACUAUUAAAAUCUCUCUCAACCUGUAUAGUUACACAAUGAGUAUAUUUUUAUGUGGAGAAAGGAAUUCUUACUAGCGUGGUACUUCAAAAGUGUUCAUCUUAACAGUUCUAAAUUGCCAAAAAAUUGUACUCAAAUUUACAUUCCGAGGAAAAGAAGAAAAAAGGCAUUCUACAGCUACAAACCAUAUUUCCUGAUUCGGUGUUGGAUUGGGCUGACGGACUGCAAUGUAGCAUGGGAAUAAUGCACUGUGGUCUGGAAAUGUAAUUGUUUAUAUUUAUAAAACACCACUGUACAGGGACUUCAACAUGUCUGGACAAGGCCACUUUCACUGAUUUAUUUAACUCUGUCCUCAGGAGGAUAAAUGAAAUAGGCACUUCUACCAGUGAGAUACAGCUGUGGGGCAUGAUAAAACCCAGUUCAACAGCAAUCAGCACAAAAUCUGAGAUCCUGAUUAAAGGUUAGGUUUCUGAGUACUUAAGGCAGAGAGUAAAACUUAAGAAAAUUUGCUUCCCCCGGAUCCUACCUGCUCUUUGCAUGGCUGAUUUUUGUGUGCCUUUUGUAUGGCCACCUCCCAAUUCCCCAAUAGGAAAUGCAUUUCUUUUUAAGCAUGCCAUUACUUUAAAUUUGUAUUGAAUUAACAAUGACAUAAUAUAAAAAUGAACAAAUUAAAAAUAUUAAUGGGAUGGGGAAUUAGCACAAAAGUAGAGUGCUUGCCUAGCCUGCACCUGAUACUGAGUUUAACAUUCAGUGCUACAUAUCAAAAGGAAAAAAAAAACAAAGCCUAGAUUUACUGAGAUAUACCUCAAAUCCAGAUCUCAUUGUUUAGCCAUGGAAUUUCUGCAUAUACAUAUACCUUUGAAAAGAUCAUCAUAGUAGUGGUAAUAAAUGCAUUCAAAUAUCUGUAUGUGUGACAUCUGCCCUCUUAGAAAAUUUUGCCAUGCACAUAAUAGUCACACGGGCUUAAUGAGUGACAAGUUGCAAUAUGGGUCAUUACCUAAAAUAUUUGUGUUCACCUAGAGCUCAUUAAAUUGCAGCUAAAGGGUAUUUUUAGAAUUGGGGGUGGGGCAACAAGACAAGCAAUCUGUGACGAGAUUCUUCUUUGAUUGCUGUGUUAUUUUUCUCUUGUUACAGAAUGUCAUGAGAUUCUGUGAGUAUCAGUGAUUUUUAAGGCAAACCAAUUAAAUAAAACUAAGAACUUUCAGAAGAUUCAAAGAAAGCACUUGCCAUAUGCUGAUAUUUCAGGGGUUCUGCUCCAAUUUAUAACACUGGGGAGUAAAAGUGAGCAUGGAUAAAAGUGUCCUUAUACAAUUUGGAUGAAGGAAAAAAAUCACUGGAUGUGGUUGAGAAGAGUUUUGCUAGAGGUUUUCUUGAGUGCAGAUACCCAGUGGAUGUGUGACAAGUAAGGCUGGUUUUGUCAAAUGCCACCAAUGAUUCUUCUGUUCCCUGGUACUCUAUUCCCCGGGCCUCUCCUCCACACACUUAUUAAUUGACUACUACUUCUGCUAAUCUUAUUGGGGGAUUACUGGCAAAGACACAAGGAUAUUCAGAACACAUGUUUUUCUGGGAAAAAGCCUAUCAGCCUAAGACGGAAUCUUCACAGAAUUUUUGACAGGUAAUUUUAUGGUGUUAAACCUAUAAUCUUCCUCAAUUAGGAACCAAACUCUAUCUACUGUAGAAAGAUGCCACUUUUCAGAAGUAUUAACCUUUACAGUGGACUGAGAUGGCAGCUCUCCAGAGAGAGAUUGAAUAUGUUUGUCCUUAGAUGAGGCAUAUUAGUAUGAGGGAUAAUCUCUCCUGGAUGGAAUUUUAAGAACUUGUGAAGGUCUAAACUCACAUGAUGUUCAAGGAUACGUAGCAUUAAGCAUCAGAGAAAAAAAAGCAUGAGAAAGGACUUCAGUAUAAGGUAAAGGCAGAGUAUAUGACUUUCUCUACUCAAAGUAAGCUAACAAGAGUAAAGCAGGUAGUCUAACUGGAGACCUUCUCGUCUCCCUUCUCUCCUCCAAAUCCAACCUACCAGACUUACUCCAGAAAUAAAGAUCACCCACUGUAGCCAACCUUCCCUCCCUCCCUGCCCCCACCUCAAGUACAUCAUGCACACCUUCUCCUAUAGCUGUCUUUCUGAGUACAUCCCAUUGCCAUAGCCCUCAAAGGUUCCCUGGGAACCAACCUACCCACAAAGCCUGCCUGACAUGCAAGAAAGCCAAUGAAGCAGGUAGGGCAGAUUUAGAUCUUUACCACCCUGUCCUCUUCUGCAACUUCAAUUCUGGAGUCCAUUUCCAGCUCUGUAGUAGAUUACUGGUAGGAGUGGCCCCUGCUCAGUCUCUACCUCAUUUUGAGUAAACUAAUCAGAUCCUGUUGGACUCAGCCUUCUGCAAAGGAAUUUUAAUCCAGCUCCAUGGCUGCUCUGACAAGGGAUCACAUCUAAAGUCUUUCGAGGUCUGUGUGAUCUGCCUGGAAUGACAUAUCUUUAAUCCCUUUGGCUAGAAUACAGACAUGCCCUUAGAACACACAUUUAAUCCCAAACAAUGAAGGUAAAGUUAGUUGGUAGAAGGAAGCUGCUAUAUUUGAAACUGAUGUCUAAUCAAGGGACAGACAAAGUGGCAAAUCAGAUAAAGAUUUGAAAGAAUGAGUCAGAGAUAGGAUAUACCCAACUCUUAAGAGACAAACAGGGGAGGCUGCUUAAGAGCAGUGCAGAGAGCAGGUCAGUGCAGUAAAACUGUGUUGAGUUGAACUAAAUUGAAUUCAGUCAGUUGAGGCAGUUGAGUUAAGUUCAGUGAGUGGACUUGAAUGUUGAACCCACUCUGGUGCAGUUCAAUGCAGGUCAGCAGAGGCAGUUGAAGCCAGAGAAUAAGGAGGAGCGAGAAGACUAGAACAAAUUUGUGUAGAGCAUUAACACAAGAGAAAAACAUAAAUAUUAUGCAAAAGGAAAGCAAAAGUUGAAAAUACCCUCAUUUUAGAAGACAUGAUUUUAUAUACGAGACCCUAAAGCAGUGGUACUCAACCUGUGGGUUGAAACUUCUU